GAUGAAGAACGUAGCGAAAUGCGAUAAGUAAUGUGAAUUGCAGAAUUCAGUGAAUCAUCGAAUCUUUGAACGCACAUUGCGCCCGCCAGUAUUCUGGCGGGCAUGCCUGUUCGAGCGUCAUUACAACCCUCAGGCCCCCGGGCCUGGCGUUGGGGAUCGGCGGAGCCCCUCGUGGGCACACGCCGUCCCCCAAAUGCAGUGGCGGUCCCGUCGCAGCUUCCAUCGCGUAGUAGCUAACACCUCGCGACUGGAGAGCGGCGCGGCCACGCCGUAAAACACCCAACUCUUCUGAAGUUGACCUCGAAUCAGGUAGGAAUACCCGCUGAACUUAAGCAUAUCAAUAAGCGGAGGA
rnacentral:misc_RNA from 1 species